rnacentral:misc_RNA from 1 species
GAAUUUCUCAGUCAGACCCUGAAAUCAAAAUAAGUUAGCAUUGUGCAAAUUUUAUUUAGAACUCCGCUUUUGAUGCAUGUUCACAUUCAAGAUAAUGAGCAACUCAGAUUUCAAUAAUACAAGUUAUUGUACAGAACUCAGGUUACCCGUAUCAAUUUACUUUCAGGCAAAGUUUGAUAGCAAUGUCAAUGGCAGAAGAUUGAUAUUAGCGGAUUUCUCAUGAUCUAAUGCUUAACCCACCCAAGGGACCGGAGAAAUAUAGCUUAGGGAAAUUAUUUGGUGCACUCCAUCCAUGUAUACUCUUACAAUGAUGUGAGUUUCAUUAUCCAUAAUUCAAUGAAAAACUGUUCUUUUUUCAGAGAGGGUGCACAUGCAAAGCGUAUAUAUUACUUACAGCACUAAGCAAAACAAGUUUAGUUAGAAUAAUGAAACUGAAGA